rnacentral:rRNA from 1 species
CCUACGGGUGACAGCAGUGCGGAAUAUUGGUCAAUGGACGAGAGUCUGAACCAGCCAAGUAGCGUGAAGGAUGACUGCCCUAUGGGUUGUAAACUUCUUUUAUCUGGGAAUAAAAUGUUCCACGUGUGGGAUUUUGUAUGUACCUUAUGAAUAAGGAUCGGCUAACUCCGUGCCAGCAGCCGCGGUAAUACGGAGGAUCCGAGCGUUAUCCGGAUUUAUUGGGUUUAAAGGGAGCGUAGGUGGAUUGUUAAGUCAGUUGUGAAAGUUUGCGGCUCAACCGUAAAAUUGCAGUUGAAACUGGCAGUCUUGAGUACAGUAGAGGUGGGCGGAAUGCGUGGUGUAGCGGUGAAAUGCUUAGAUAGCACGAAGAACUCCGAUUGCGAAGGCAGUUCACUGGACUGCAACUGACACUGAGGCUCGAAAGUGUGGGUAUCAAACAGGAUUAGAUACCCCAGUAGUC